rnacentral:rRNA from 1 species
GAUGAACGCUGGCGGCGUGCCUAAUACAUGCAAGUAGAACGCUGAAGCUUGGUGCUUGCACCGAGCGGCUGAGUUGCGCACGGGUGAGUAACGCGUAGGUACCCUGCCUCUUAUCGGGGGAUCACUAUUGGAAACGAUAGCUAAUACCGCAUAACAGUCGAUAUCGCAUGAUAUUGAUUUGAAAGGUGCAAAUGCAUCACUAAGAGCUGGCCCUUCGUUGUAUUAGCUAGUUGGUGAGGUAACGGCUCACCAAGGCGACGAUACAUAGCCGACCUGAGAGGGUGAGCGGCCACACUGGGACGGAGACACGGCCCAGACGCCUACGGGAGGCAGCAGUAGGGAAUCGUCGGCAAUGGGGGCAACCCUGACCGAGCAACGCCGCGUGAGUGAAGAAGGUUGUCGGAUCGUAAAGCACGGUUGUAAGAGAAGAACGAGUGUGAGAGUGGAAAGUUCACACUGUGACGGUAACUUACCAGAAAGGGACGGCUAACUACGUG